CGAUGAGUUAUAUCGGUCUUUAGCCGAUAUGGUUAUUAAUACUAAAAGGAUAUAAUACUCAGUUCAGUUAGUCGUCGAUCUCAACAAAGUUACAUUGAUAAAUCGCCGAUAUGCCACCAAAGUAUAGAUAGUUAUCCGGCAGCUGUCAUCCAGCUCAGCAUCAGCAAUCUUUCAGCUAUACUAUAGUAAAUUGCCAUAUAGGCA
rnacentral:lncRNA from 1 species